GUUUUGAAUAGAAAUUUAAAUCCUCCUUUCUAUAGAAGCUUGAAGGUGAGGUAGCUCUCACAGAUUCUUUUUUUCACAAGGCUGAAAAUAUAGAUGAACUCAGGGAGAUUCAUCUGUGCACGCCAGAGUCUGUUGUGUCACAGAGAGGGCCACGGGCCACUGAUACAGGGACUUGUGUGAAAGAAAGUGGGAGAAGGGAAGGGAGAAAGUGAGAAGGGAGGAAGAGAAAAGAGAGAGAAACCAGCCACCAUCUGCCAGCCAACCUUCUCCCAGCACCUUGCAUACUGUGCUCUGCUUAACCAUAAGCUGAUCCCUGUGACACAAAGAUUUAAGGCCCUUUGAAAUGCAUUCAGUGAACAGGAGAGGAGGAUGCCUCUUGCAUGUUAUGUGCAUCUUCCUGUUGGCAAGAGUGACCAGGCAACUCAUUUGUGGCUUUAUCUGCUUUUGUGCACCCAAUAAAUAGUAUCUUACUUGAGACAACAAAAAACAUUGAUGAAUCCCUAUUUAAUAAGGCCAGCUACUUGGGGAGAGGAGAAAAAGCCUAGCAUUUAGCAUUUAUUUUUUCAAAAGGAGAUUUUGCUUUCUCUUCUCAUUUUUUUUUAUGUUGAAAAACAGAGAAAAGCCACACAGCGAGCGCCCCACCCCCACUCCUUUCAUUCUGGGCUUUUGUGUUUGGGGAUUGGUUGGGGAUAGACUUGCAGUGAGAAGAUCACAGCUUGUCUUGGGGUAGGGAGGGGUUGCUGGAGACUGGCUGUUAACCCUGUGAAUGCCAGACAACUGAGGGUUAAGCUCAAGACAGGGAUUCUUUCUUUAGGACAGAGCUGAAGUAGAGAGAGAGCUGUGAAGAGAACCCACAUGUUCUGUCCAUAGUAAUUUUUAAAAGUAUAAAUAGUGGCAUUUCUGUUUCUAAAGGCAAUAUUUUAUGACUGUAUAAAACUCAGAGGAGAAAACAGAGACAAAUUAUAUAACAGAAAAGAAAAACAAUUCCAGUAUCAAUGGCAAGUGUUAAUUACGGUUGUUAAUGUAAUUAUCAUGGAUUAUUUUUGAUAAUAUAACAUAGUGAACACUGUGCUAGGUGCUUUACAUAGUUAGCCUAUACUUCCUAAAACUGCCCUAGAAUAUAGGCAUUCUUUUCUCCAUUUGACUGAUGAAAAAAUAUUUUUUAUAUGUAAUUCUAAUUUCCCUUUUUUGUGACUACUUAAGUACUUAGGUUAUGCUUAUGUGAUCUUAUUUUUAUCCCACUUAACAAAGUGAGAAGCUCCAUAUUUUCUCACACCACAUUUUUAAAUGACUGCAUAACCCGACAUGUUAUAUGGUCAUUUAAAUCUAAAUGACACCCUACCUGAGAUGAAGCUCAUGAUAUAUGUAGCCAUUUCUAUGUGUUUAGAUGUUUAUGUAAUGCAAAAGUUUUCUUUUGUAAAUGAGAUGGCAUUUUGGAUCUCUUUUGCACAUUGCUAAUUAUUCCUUUAAGCCAGGUUUCCAGAAGUUCCCCAGUCAUUGAGCAUUUCUGAGGCUCUUGAUGCAUAUGCCAAGUAGUUAUGGAGAAAGACACAGCAGCUUACCUCUGCAGGCAUCAUUGUGUGAAAGGAAGACCCAGGCUCUCUCACCACCCUUGAACAGAAGCCUUUUGCUAAGGUGAUAGCUACAUGUCCAAGCCUAUUGCGUGGCAUGCAUUUUGCCUUCUGCAGCCCACUAAAGGUGAGCAGUAAAUGUGUUUGCUAUUUCCCCAAAAGGAAAUUGAAGUAUACAGAAUGCUUAUUUGGUCUACUCAGUAUCAUCCUAAAUGUAUGUACCAAUGCUUAGGAGUUUGCAGUUCACCCGCAAACCUCAGCGAUCCAAGCUCCCCUGGAUGACCAUCACUCACCAAGAAAAGAGCAAUAACAGGUACAUUUCCAAAAUUAUCUUCCUUGUUGAACAAUCCACACAGGAACACGAUGAUUCUGCAGGUCUGGAGUGAUCUGGAAAUCACGGGUGGAGUGAAAAUACGUCAGGAAGCUUUUGGGAAGCCGUAGUGGAUCUUGGGAAGCCAUGAAGGGGCUCCUUUCUGUAGAAUACAGCUUCCAGAAGAAGGAGUUGAUUUUUUUGUAAAUAGGGUCUCAGAAGGCAAAUGAAGGGAGAGGCAAGGAAAACGGGCUUCCUCAGUAGCAGCUAGGUUGUCAGAAAAGAUACCUUAUGGCCAGUGAUUUGGUCUGACCUGGUUUGUUUGCCUCACAAAACAUCGGGGUAUGUUGUUUUCUAGGACCUGUUUUGCUAAUCCAGGACUGUUCUCCAGCACUAACUCUAAAUAAUCCCUUCUGCUAGAGUCCACUUUCUGGAACCUGUUGUGAGUAUUGUGAAUUGUUCUCCAACCUCUAUUCUAGUUAUCUCAUUUCCAUUGAGACUAGCAAAAGCACUUGCUUGAGAUUCUGUGUUCAAGUUUCAACUUUAGCAACUCACUUUUCCUUUAGGCCUCCGUUUUCAACGUUUCCCAAACUUGGUCCGUUGUGUGAGCUGGCUGAUAAAAGUUCCAGGUAACCUUCCUUGUUCUCAAGGUCCAUUUUCCAGGAAAAUCUGAGUCAUGGUGCUGGGGAGGACACUUAAGUACAUCAGUCAAUCAGAUGAUUAUUAAAUUUAGGAAAUAGUAGAUCAACUGGAUUAACUGGAUUAAAAUGCAGAAUCCCAGGCCCCAGCCCAGACCUACUGAACCAGCAUCUGCUCUUUAACAAGAGCCCCAUGUGAUGUGUGGGACAGAAAACUUUGUGAAGCACAGGGCUAGACAGUCUCUAAAGUCUUCUGCAGAUCAGAAACGCAGCAAUUCUGAGGUUUUCUUCAAUUUUCUAAUGUUAUUUCCAGCUCUUUCCCCUCUCUUCUUUCCUUGAUAUGCUGAGGAAAACUUUCUCUGUGAUAAGCAGAGUAGGUGUCUUGUUCUGUGAAUUUCUAAUGUCUCUGCAAGGGCUUCAUAUGUUGAAGGAAGUUGGGACUCAGGGGGUUAACUGCAAAACACAUUACCAUAGGACAGCUGCCACGGCAUCACAUUCUAAAAUCUGAUAAAUGAAAAAUGGGCAUGGUAUCAAAUUUAAUCACAUUUGUAUUCAGAUGUUGUUGAGAGCAGACACUGAUUUAUGAACUAGCAACAGACACCAGAUUUCCUGCCUAUGUUAUAUACAUAUGAAUGGGUGGACGGAUGGAUAGAUAAACAGACAGUGAAAUUAUGUUGCAAAUUACAUGGCACCAGACCUGUUUAUAACCUAGAUCUCAUCAAACUAAUAUUAAAAACUACUACAGAUAUAUUUUUUUUUCCUGGGCAGUAGCUGGUGGUCUUACUUUUACCCUGAAAAACAGACUUCUUUCAAAGGAUUCUCUUUCUUAAUUUGUGCAGCAUUGAAAAUGCUUCUGCUUUGCUCAGUAGAUAGCAUUAUCAUAUUUAUAUACAGAAAAAUGUUCUUUAUGGGAUGGAAAAGGAUAAAGGGAUGUUCAAACCAUUGCUGCGUUCUGUUGCGCACCCUCCCACUCCCUGACAACUCCGUUAAAACAUCAACAGUACAAGGGGCCACUGUAUAUUUCUGGGAUUACACACCAAGAUCUAGGCUUUUAGAGGACCUGUGAAGGGCUGAGGUGGAAGAGGAGAACAUUCAACAUGGAUUAAUAAUAAAAAAAUUAAGCAACUUUCCUCUCAGUUCAGCAAAGUAGGGAGAUCUAGGUUCAGUGUUUCUUGAUAUUUACAGUUUUGAAGGUAAAUCACUUGGCUGAUGAGGUUCUCUAUUUUGGGGCAGAUACUGCUUAAUAUCACCAGAGACAUCUAGCCAUCUUCGCAGUAUGUUUUCUUUACUACGCCUUUUCCUUGUAGAGACUUCCUGUAUUUGGCAAAUUUAAUCAAAUUUUAUUUAUCUUUCAGAGGUCACAUAGGUACAUUCACUCACUUUCAACCAAUAUUUCUUAAGACUGUGUUACGCUGUGCACAGGAGACAAGACACAGAAAUAGAUGACCCAUGAUUUGUCUUCUUUUUAUUUAAAAAAAAAAAAGAAGAAGAAGCUCUGUAUCUGUGAACAAGUCAGAUAGACACAGAUGAUUUCAGCAUAAUUAGGAGGAAUCACUGAGCUCAGCCCAGGGAGCUAGACUAGCUCAGAGGAGUACCUGAUUCACACUAGGAAGGUAUUGGCACAGGCUUCCUGGAAGUGGAGACACUGAAUGGAAUUCUAAAGGAUGUGAUACCUUCUACAUGUUCUUUAAGAUACAGGAUGGUGGGUGUUCUUAAUGGAGAAGUAGGAGAAAAGGGUUUUCCUGGUGUGAGAAACAAUGGAGAUUAGAAAAAGCAUGAUAAUCAGAGGACAAUUCACAGCUGUGGUAUGACUGGAAUAAAACCAUCCAUCCUCCAGAUGCCAGGAGGCAGGCACAACAGUCACUGUCCUGUGGCCUUCAUUCCUUGGGGAAAACACCACAAUGGUCAUCACCUGAACAAAUGGAGUGGGGAGAUGUGGAAGUGAAAGAAAGGGAACGCUGAAGAAGACAGUAUCAGAGACCCAGUAGCAAUGAAACCUCAAUUGGCACAGAGGAUUUGGGAAGAAGGACCCAGAUUUGAGUAUUUUCAGCUCUAGGUGCUGAAGAUGUUCAUGACCAAAUAGACAUGGUAGUUGAGGGAAAGAGGGUUUUAGGGAGCCCUUCUCCUUGGAAUUCUAGGUAAGUGAUGAUGCUAUUUACUAAGAGAAGACAUCCAGAAGAAGGAGCUUGCAUUGUCUUUAUUUUGAUUUUGUUUUGGUGGAAUUGAGAAUACAAUGUAUUAUUACUGUGGAGGAGGUGGAAAUAAUGCCAACUUAAACCUUCCCUCCCCUAGGGAGCUCUCCCUAACAAUCUGGGCUGGAAAGAGUGUGUUCCUUUAGGAAACAAAGCAUGUAUUACCCAUUGAGAAUCCAUUAUUACUUUGAAUUUUUAGUUUUGUUUUCAUGUGUUGCUUUAUCUUCUUAAUUAAAUUAUCUCUUCUAGGGAGAAGACAUCUUACUCUUAUUGGAUCAUGCACAGUGCCUGAAGCAUUCUGUUGCAUGUAGAAGGUAUUGGUGGAUGUUUGUUAAUUGAUUUGUUGAAUUUUUUUUCACUGAACACAUUCCCAAGAAACAGCCAAACCCAGAGUAAGGAAACCAUCUGGCAAGAACCGCUCAAGAGAAUGCUUCUUGGCUCUCACAUCUUAAAGGUCUUAAAAUAGCUAACAUUUAUUGAACAUUUUACUAUAUGCCAGGUAUUAUGGGCUAAGCCCAUUAUAUAUGUGAUCUCAUAUAAUUAAUCUUCAAAACAAUCUUGUGUCAUAAAUGCUACAAAUACUUUGAUUUUAAAACUGAUGAAAAUGAGAUUCAGGGAGAUUGUCAUUUUAUUUGCAGUCAGUAAAUUGCAGAUGUAAGAUUCAAAACCAGACUUCACAUCUACCGACUUCAGUGACCCUGAAAUUUGUUCACAGAGAGCAUUUAACAUAACUGUCUUCAUCAUCUCCUUCUCUACAUUAAAAAUUAUGGGUAAGUCUCUUGCUUUUCCAGUCUUCAUUGCUUUUCUAGUCUUAGAAAUAUUAUACAAAGACAAGAAAUACAAGAGACUUACUCAUAGCUAUGUGUCCAGAGCUAGAGUUAGAAUUCGCAUCUAGAUCUUGAGACAGGUAACUUCUUACUCUACUGCGUUGGUUUUAAGACAAAUCUGUUGAGGCAAACUUUUUGCUGGGCACUGUAGGCAACAGAAAGAAACUGAGGGUCUGCUAUUUGUCUCCAGAGGCCUUACAAACUGGUAGAAGAUGCAUAACAGAAGAGCUUAUGAAGUUAAAGAUGACAGCAUAGCAGCACUGGUGAGAUCCUUUUAGACAUAACAUGGUAGGAAGGACUGUUUGACAAAGUGAAUGCCUGUCUUUCAGAAUAUACAGGGAGGUGUGAUGUACCCAUUAUCACAAGCAGAUGGAAUCCCUAUAGAGUCGGAUCUCAUCUACAUAUCACCUAUUAUAUGUAGUUAUUGAUGGAUAAAUACUUCAACAACUAAAGGCAGAAAGAGAGCAGGUGGGCAUAGGAGUUAGUAAACAUCUCACUGCUAUUGUUUUUCAAGGUGAAGCUAGAGAAGAAGAUUCCUAAGAUGUAGGAGGAAAUUAUCAUACUGAGUAAGAGGGUGCAAUUUUGGAAGGUUGGACUUGAUGACCUCUCCAGCAUUAAGGGUGAAUGAUUCUUUCUAGGGAUUUGGUUUGUUGCCAGAGAGCCUGGCUACCUGCUAUUUAGUUGCUUUGUUGAUUAGCAAAUUUCCUCUGAAAUAUUCCUCACAUUCAUGAGCCCCCUUCCUGGGGUAGGUGGACCCAGAAAAUGUUUUCUCCCAUUUUAGUUGGCCAUGUGUUUGAAACUCAGAUGGACCUAAGUCUUUCAGCAUCAUUGUCACUACUGUAUGUCUAUCCAUAAAAAGAAGGCAUAAGACUCUCUGUAGUAUCACGAAGUUAGCCAUUUGGGAUUGCAAAAACUUUCCUCUUUCCAUUGGAGAGAAAUAGUUUAGAUUAGAUGGUGGAGCCCCUACCACAUCUCCCAAAAUUUAAAUUAUAACAUGAACAGUAAUUUAGGUCUGAUUUUAAUAUUUUGUCAUUCUUAAACCUAAUAAAAGCUACAUCUUCCUAAAGACCCUCCUAAUUUUUAUUAUGGACAGUUCACAAAGACGUUAUUGGUGAUUCAAUCUUGAGUCAUGAAAAGUCAACCUUGAGCCACAAAAAGUCAACCUUGAGCCAAGCAGAUUGGAGAGUCAUACAUGCCAUUCCUGGGACCAUCAAAAAUGGCAGAGGUCACACAAAAAGGCAAAACUUUUAAGAGGUGUUUUAAACGUCGUAUGGGCCAAAGAGAAGCUGGAUUUCCUAUUGGAGUCACCUGUAACACACGUGUGACGAAAUUGGCCUGUGAGGACAAGGCAGUGAGCAGAGAGGACAGCAGUCCUUAUGAGAUCAAGCUCUAAGGUGAGGUUGCAGGAUCUGAAGGCCAGCUCCCCUGCUUGCUCACUGUAUGACUUUAGGCAAGUCAUUUUACUUCUGAAUGAUUCAUAUUGGAAGUAAAAUAUAUGAUUGGUUAAAAUAGUUUCUAAAUUUAUUAUGGGGAUUAAAUGGACCAAUAUACUCGAAGCUUUUCAGACAGAGUCUGGCGCAAAGUAAGCACUUAGAAAAAUGUAAGCUUUUAUUAUAAUAGAAACUAUUAAUAUAAUAAUUAUUCCUGGGUGUAAAAUUAGGGAAAAUCAUUAGAAUAGAAAGGAAGAAAGAAACAAGAAUCAGAAUAGGAGCAAGAGAGAUUUCAAGGAAGGGGUAAGGAUGUUUGGGAGAUACUAGUUUUCCCCUAGACUGGUAUCCAAACUAGAUUUUAAAAUCUUGAGAUAGGGCCUUGUCUUUUAUGAUGGGCAGGAUUUCUUUGCUCUUAGCAUUGAUAAAAUGUGGCAUGACCAGUGGCUGGUUGAAUGAUGUAUAGCUCCAGCUGGAAUCAAGAUCACAGUAUGCUGACCUCUGAACUUUGUAAGAUUGCAAUGAUUACUCUUCUUCCACUCAGAGGCUCAUUAGUGUCAAGCCAUGGUUGUCCCUGUUUUGAUGAGUAUUCACCACCUGGCUACAUGUGACCUGGCUUCUGGUUAUAACCAUACCAGCCUGCAUGACUUCCCAUAGCAUGCUGCCAUCAGACACUGCUCUCCCAUCUUCUGCAACAUGAGAUAACUUUUCACAAUUGGGGCAUGAGGGGCAGUGCUAGUGGAUACAACAUUUUAUGUCAAAUCAGGGGUUCUGCAAAAUGCCCCUGGUUAAUUUAGUCCAGAGUCUAAUGUAAAAAGGUAUCUGAGUAGCACAAAAUUGCAUAUAUAAUUGUUUUCCAUCAUUAUUUUAUAACUUUCCUCAAUAUCAUCCAGGUAUCCUAGACACAUUUGGAGAAUUCACCUGAGCUACAGGAUGUGGUAAGAUUUGGUGAGCAGGUGGUGAUUCUUACAGAAUCCCUCACACAUUCAUGCACAGAACUUCCCCAGCACACUCCCAGGUAGGACCACUUCCCUCUUCAUUGUGCAAAGAUUCACCACUGGUUCCAGCCUUCUCUGGCACUUUUAAGAUAUGCAUCAGGUUUUAUUCAUCUCUGAUUUUCUAGCCUCUGGCAGACUACCUGGUGUACCAGAGGCUUUGUAAGUAAUAGUUAAAUAAAGAGAAAACAUUAAAGCAACAUUGAAGGAAGAGGGUUAACCAGACUACAGAUUUGAGACCUCUAUCUCAGAGGGCCAACAGUCAUGUUGAUGUUUUCAUGCUUUCUUGGAUAUAAAAGUCACACUACACUUUCCCUCUCGGUGACCAUGUACAAAGGUUCAUUUAUAAUUAAUAGACAAAGUCUUUAAUAAAGCAAACCAAAUGUCAUCUUUCCUUUUUUCUGCAAUAUGAAGUCAUUAUUUCCACUGGAUGAAAGCACUUUUGACCUAUAAAAAUAAAAAAGUGAGAUGUUAGGUGACUUCAGUGCAUAAAAAUACUGUUUCUUGUUACCAAUAAUAUAUACUCAACCAUCGUCUUCAUCUUUAUCAUGGUCUCCUGGGGCAAACUGAAUCUGAGUUAGCAGGGUUUAAUAAAAGUUAUUCUGAACAUCUGGGUCAUUGUAGAGACACAUAUUGAAAAUUGAAACACUUUAUAUGUCAACAGAUGUUCUAGAAGAAGCCUGUCUAUUUUCUCUUAUUCAUUUAUGAGUCCAAGGAGAGGAAAAGUUCUUUGUUCAUCUCUCCAUCCAUGAUAUUAUGCUCCAUGCCUGAACCUCACCUAAUGCCUACUAUGUUUUAC
rnacentral:lncRNA from 10 species